UGUGAGCCUUAUUUGCACCCUUGUGGCACCGUGGGCUGUGCUCCGUUCACGGCACUCAUUCAGCUGUCACACAAAUGUUGACGUGGGAUUGCUCUGAUGGGUCCUGACCCCCAGGUUGAGAAACACUGUCCUAGAAGGCAAAGGGGAGUGGAGAAAUCUGGUGGCGGUGUCGUGGUGCCAAAGGGAGGUGAGAAAGAGAGAUUUUGGAUUUUUAAGCCUGAGACAUGGGCCAAAGCUGGCUGCAGAUCUCCCCAACCCGUCUACCCUUACACAAUGGUCGAAGCCAGAGGAAAAGUGUUUUCAGAACACUUUCAGAGAGGCUUUGUGGGAUUUUGCUGGAAAUACCCAUUUGUAUUUCAAAUAUGUGACAAGAAACUACGUGUGAAACUGAGUGCUGUGGGAGAGAAUGGCUGCAGUUCAACAUUCUUUCAGUAGGGUUGCUGUGAAUUUUCCGGGCUGUAUGGCCAUGUUCCAGAAAUGUUCUCUCCUGAUGUUUCACCCACAUCUAUGGCAAGAAUACUCUUUUGGCCUCGCCUACUUUGCCAGUCCCUCCUACCUCCCAUUGUGCAAGCCUAUGUGAUGUUCACAUCAGCAAAGGUUCCUUGCCCUUGAUCUAAUCCAGUGAUCCCCAAACUUGGGUCCUCCAGCUGUUUGGGACUUCAGGUUGGCUAACACUCAGGAAUUCUGGGAGCUGACGUCCUAAAUGUCUAAAUUUGUAAAAGCCUGCUAUAAUCCUUUCCACGUAAGCAGUAAAGUUUGAAUCCCACACAUUCCUAACAUGAUGGAAAAAAGGGCACCAAAUCCAUGCCCCAGAAACUUCUGAAAACACCUGUGUGAUCUACAAGGUGAGAAAGUGUGAAUAGGGACUGAAGAUGAAAGCAGGUG
rnacentral:lncRNA from 11 species